rnacentral:lncRNA from 10 species
AGGUUGAGAAGCCCUGGAAGGUUGGGAAGUCUUAGUGUAGAGUUUCACUUCCAGAAGGGGACUAACAGAAGAAACUGCCAUAAAGCUGGUGGAAAUAGAUGUUUCUUACUCAGAUUUCAGCUAAAGAUGAUCCAAAUGAAGUUGGCUCCCAGCUGCCAUCAAUCGUGUCCCCACAAAGCGAGGGAGGGAAUAAAAUUUACCUGGUCUGGUGGUCCAAAAGAUGAACAAAGGAUGAUAAUGUGAUCACAAGAUGAUAAUUCUUGCGACAGAUAUUGCAUCCAUGCUCAGAUCCAAAGAGGGAGAGGAGACAGAAGAUGUAACUGAAUCUAAAUCUGCCCCAUCUUACCAAGAAAAUUAUGGUUUUACUAGAAGUCUUACCUUUUAAAUUACUUAUAGUUCCUUGACCAAAACUUGACCAUGUCCUUCUCUACCCACCAUUUGGCUUUUUAGCUAAUGACAGAAGAGCCUGGGAGAGGGGAUGACUAGAACUCACUAGGCCACAGAGCAAAGUUUUGAUAGGACAGAAGAGAAGAGGGGAUUAGUGACAACUAGUGGCUCAUUAGAAUUUAUUGUCUCAAAUAUUACAUAUUGUUUAAAUAUAAUUAAUAAACAUAUAAAAAUGUAGACUGGGAGAAUACAUACCAAAUUUGUGAAAAUGUGUGUCUCCAGGCGGGAGAAAGAGGAAUACAACUGAAUAGAAGUACAAAGAGGAUUUUCAGUUGAUCUCCAUUAUCUUUAAGUAUUCAUAUUUUAAAACAUCUGAAGCAAAUGUGACAAAAUACUAGAGUUCUUAAACCUGGAUGUUAGAUACAUGAAUCUUAUACUCUGUAAUUUACUGUAAUUGUUCAAAAUUAAGAAAAAAAUCUUCGAAGGUAUUUUGUUAACCUUCAGAAUGCUGGGGCUAGUGGUAAGUGUUCUUUUACCUUGAGAGAGAAAAAGACAUGAAAGUAUCUGCCCAAAUAAUGAAAGAAAGGAGGACUAAGAUAAAAAGUCCAGGGAGCUGCAUUCCCACUGGCCCCUAACCUAGACAAUUAUUGGAAGUUCUAACACCCAAAUCCAUAUUACAUACAGAGUCUCCCAAGUGCAUACUCUGAAACAAUUGAACUAGGAUUUAAGCAUAACCAUGGGGAAAAAAAAAUUAAGUAUUCAUGAUUCAUCUUGUUCUCGCUGAAAGUCAGCAUAAAAGCUUACACGUACAAUGUUUCCAAAUAGCUGACUGUCCUAACAUUUUCUUUCGUAAGAGAUAGGUCACGCAGGAUACUCAUACAAGAGGUGCUUUUAUGUAAGACAUUUUUAUCCCCCCUCUUCACCAUAAAAAAUGUGUAAUGAAUUAUUUUCUAAAGUUGAUGGUUUUGGAGCAUUCAUUUUCAUGAAAGUCAAAGUCACCCCCACGCAGUCAUGAAUUCUUUUUGGAUGCAAUUCAGACUUUCCAAGGUUACCAUUUCAGGUUUUACAGAAAGAAUUGUACCACUCUGACAAGAGGUAUCUAGGAGAACUUGAGGAACAGAAAGUUAAGGAAGCAAAAGACAGGAUGAGGUGACAUCACCAGCACUAGGCAUUUAAUGAGUACUUAAGAACUUAUUUUCAUGAAAUAUAGACAAAGCCAGUUUAGAAUAGGUUUUAAUUUAUUCAGAUGAAGAAGUCAGAAAGAAAAGGAAGGAAGACGCCAUUUUAGUUUCACUUUUACUUGCUGCAGAUUAAUAUCCCAUGACCUAAAGUGCUCGCAUGCAAAGAGGAAGAGCUAGGGAGAGAAAGGAAGGGAGAAAACUGUAUCAUGGAAACUUGAAGGGUCUUCUGUCAUAGAAACCCAGAGAUUCCCUGCCAUGGUGCCUUUCUUGUAUUCUUUUAAUUGCUUUUGAAAAGUAGUAAGGGUUUCAGUGUAGGAAGGAGGAAAAAUUAGUUUUCUUUUUUCCAGCUCUACUAAAUAUGAAAGAGAAGACAAUCAAAAGAAAACACUCUGACAUGAAUAAUUGUAGUACCACAGAAACAAGGGCAAUCGUUUUUCUUUGAGUGAAUGUGCACAAUGUAAACUUCUGUUUGGGAAGAAGUAGUCAAAUGACUUUUCUCAUUUUUAAUGAGUGUUUGAAUAUUUCUGGAAAUGGACACUGCUGGCAACAAACUAGCUCAGGGCCCAAAGAGUGGUAAUUCAAUCCCAUUCUGAUUAUGCUGAGAAAUGGAGUUGUCAUUUUAUGGAAGUGGGUUUGCACCCACUUCCAGGGACAGCGAGACUGUUUUACUGGUCAAAGCUAAGUGUAGAAAAUUUCAGACCAAUGGGAAAAGAAAAUCUACUUAGAUUUUUAAGUUGAUUUGUUAUCACUACUGCCCCGUGUUGGAAUAAAGUCAUUUCAUAAUGCAUUCCUACCUUGGGAGCUGAAUCUUUGGACUUGAGUCCCUUGGCCCCAAAGACUUGACCUUUUAUAAGUCUGUUGACCUCUCUGAGUGCUCAUUUCCUCAUUUGUUUUUUUAAAACUUGCCUCCAGAUUGGCUGUCAAGACUGAGAUAAAGAUGUGAAAAUGUAUAAACUUUAAAAUGGUGGGCAAGUAAAAUUGUUUCAAGGAUAUUAUAAAUAUUAUGUGCUAUUAGCAGAAAACUAAAGAUGCUUAAUUUUUUGUUUUGUUAUAGAUUUUGUUUGUAUUUUGCUUUUAUGUACAGGUAAUUCUGAUCUUGAGUAUGCCAUCCCUAGAAUACAACUAGGCUGACCCUUUUCUCAGCUUUCAUUUAUUUGCUUUCAAGGAGAUAAGGAGAUCCCAAAGGCUCCAGGAGUAUGUGACUCAAAGUACAAAUAAAGAGCAGAGUCUAUGAGUAAAAUCCUUGUAAAGGUAACCUCUGAAAGGAAGUCCACAGCAUGACACUAAGUGAAACAGCAUUUUUGAGGGACUUGAAGCUGAAAAAAUAGAAGUUAUGAUAGUCAAUGUUUGCUUUAGCUUAUCCAAGAAGUUGGAGAAACAAGUUCUAUUUUUUUUUUGGAAGAUUCUAAUUGAAAAUAGGAUUUUUAUUAAGUUUUAGAAAAGCCGUAAGACGAAGGUGAAUUAUCUGAUAGCUGCUCAAGUAUUUCCUGAGCGUUAUCCUUUUGAGGGACUGGAGCUUUGAUGAAUGUGUCUGUCACCCCAGAGAUGCCAUGGUAUAAUAAAUGGAUCAGUGCCUGGAUGUUUAGUCUUCUAUGGAAUAACAUAGAAUGCAGAAAUUCAAGGGUGAGCUUAUUUUGGUCGGUGCUGAUUUUACAUCUGUGCAGGUAGGUGUGCAAUUUUAAAACACAAAUUUUCAAGAUGCUAUAUAGAUCACCAGCACUCAGGCUAUGAAGCAGCAUGUGUGUGCAGCAGAACCAGAGAUGUCUGCAAGUUCAAUCAAGUCUGAUUCAACAGUCUCUAAAGUAGAAGCAACAGCAGAUCCAGAAAUAUCAGUCAUUGCCUCUCAUGAUGUUGACUCCCAAGCCAAAAUAAACCAGACUGAAUGAACUUUUUUGUCAUGUCUGAUUCAGCAGCACACAGCUUAAUGGGCUGCUUCCCAAAAGAGAGAAAUGGUGGUGGACAUCUGUUCUUAAAAAUGACUGACAUGUUCCCCAAACUAGCAUUUUCUCUAUGGCUUUUAUGCCAUUUAUCACUAUCACUAAAUACAAUUUUAAACCUUUCAAAAAGGAUUUGAAAGAGUUAAGAGAUUAUAAUCCUCAAGUAUGGGCCAAGUAUAUCUUCUUUCUAACGUUGUGUUGCUGUAAUUAAAGUUGCUAGAGAGUAAUGGCCCCAAGUAUUCUUCCUGUUAGCCAGUGAUUCUGUAAAAAUAAACCUCAGUGCUUUUUGACAUAUGACAAAUGAGCAUCUUCUGCCCUGGAUAUCUACCAGGGAUAUACUUUAAAUUAUUCUGAAGGCCUGUAAAGUGCUUUUAAGUCUUCCGUGGGGCUUUCACAUGAAUGGUACUUUACCACUUUGAGCAUAGAAAUGUGGCUGAGUUCAGACAGAAGCCUCUCCAGAAGAGCUGCAUCCUUUGAAAAGAAGACAGCAGAUCAUAGCCAAAACCGCUGUUAAGUCUAAGAUAAGUUCUUGCCAUGUUUCGGGGAUCCUAUGGUGCCCAUCCCACAGUGAUCAAGGGCCAUCAAGCUGCAAAGGUGUGUUUUCAGAAAACAAACAAUUCUCAUUUCUUUUAAAUCAGCCCUCUAAGAUCUACUUUCUUUUUUGCAUUUCUUCUUAUAUUUCAAAGUGCUUGUUGGAGCAAGGCUAGGGACUGCAGCUUCCACACAAAACUCAAAGAGAACCAAAAUGAGCCCUUCACAGGCAUGAAGAUAGGUGGCAGGGAGUGAAGUUUAUGGAGGCUAUAGCAACAUUUUUUAAAGGCCACUGUUAUAAAAAUUUUCUCUAAAGCAAGUAAAAUGUCUUAUUCAUUUGUGUAUCCCUCACAUAGCUAGCAGUAGUUUGUAUAUGAUAGAUAUUAAAAGAUAUUUGUUGACGUCAUUGAUCAUUCACAGAGCAAAAAUAUUAUUCCUCAUGUACCCUGAGAGUCUCCAUGGAUUACAGAAAAAAUAAUAAAAUGAGGUUUCAAUUCCAGAGUUUACCACAGGGGCACCAUUUGGUCUAGGCUUCAAAUUCACAAAAGGCCUGAAAAAUCUCUCAUUUCUCCAAGUGAGGUUAUAUAUGCCUUCAUAGAGGUGAUACUGACAAGAUUGAGAGCUGAAGUUGUUCAAAAUACAUAUUUAAAUUAAGCCAAAGUUUUGGGAACUCUUUCCUUUUUUUUUUAUUUUUAAAGAAUGAACCAGUGUAUUAUUCCAUUUAUAUCUAUCUAUCUAUCUAUCUAUCUAUGUAUCUAUGUUAAAGGGUUCACAAAAGAAUAACCUUUAAAGUGUUAAUAAUGAAUUGUAAUAAGGUGGGAGUUCAUGUGAUUUUUACCCUCUGUAUGUUUUACCCUCUGUAUGUAUUUUAUCCUUUUGUAUGUUUGAAAUUACUACAUUGAUCGCAUAUGAUUUAUAUAACCAGAGAAAGCAAUAAAACUAUAUUCAUUACAGGAAACAGAGUAUAGGAUGCAGCAAAUGACUUUGAGAGUCAGUCAAAGAUAACUCCUUAGUCUGAGCCCAAAUGACUGGAUGGGUGAUGGUUCCAUUAAGAGAAAUUGAGCGAUCAAGAAGAGAAACAGAUGUGGGGGAGGAGAAGUUUUGAAUCCAAAUGUGAGCAAGUUAAGUUGGAAGUGUCAGAAGUGCUUCUGCAUGGAAAUGUUAAAGAGAAGCUUAGAACAAGGCUGGAAAUGCAGAUUUAAUAGGGCAUUGAUGAGAGUGGAGUCACAGAGAGACAGAUGAGCCCAAAUGAACAAGACAGGGCUUGUAAAUUUAGAGAGUAAAGGAGUAAACAGACCCAUGCGCAUAAUAGGAGCCAAUAAUGAGGAACCAGGAGAUGAUGGUUCUCAUAUAACCAUAGGAGUGGAGGCGAACACUAUGUGUGUCAGCUCCUAGGACUUUGCAUUCCAUCUGGAAUCAAAAUGAGAAGGAGCUUCUCUAGGAUGGGGUUGGGGUGGGAUAUGGACAUCUCAGGAAGCAACACCCGCAAAUACAAAGUCCCACAGACAGAAAGAAGGUUGGUGAAUUCUGGGAGUAGACAAAAUUUCAAUGCAUCUGGAGUUCUGUGGUUAUUAUAGCAGAGUAUAAAAUAUGACCUGCGCCCUCAGACAGCUCAUAGUCUGAUGGGAGAGACAGAUAUAGCAACGAAUACUUCCAAUACAUUAUGGUAAGCACAGGGAUAGAGACGAGACAAGUACGAGUGCUAUAAAUGCACAGUAAUAGAGGGGAGACAUUCAGUUCUGGAAGCAGAAGCGUGUAAUAUUUUUCUUAAACCUUCUGAACCUUUUAUGAGGAAUUUUGCCAAAAAGAUGGUAAGUAGUGAGUGGGAGAUAUUGCUAGAAAGGAGAAUCUCUGGAAGGGGAAGGGAUAAGACAGCUUAUAAUAUACUUAUAAGCUGUUGGAUUAGUAAACACAGAUUAAAUUGCAUAGUUCAGCCAGAUUCAAUAAUAGGAUAAAACUUCUGGAGACCGUUGGCCAGUUGCUUCUCUUGCUGACUCUCGUCAAGGUUCAUGGUAAGUGAUGAAUCCCAUAGCUCUAUAUCCACAUUGCCUUACCUGGCAUCCUUAGGAUUGCUGCUUCAAAGGAAACCUACAAAUUAGAGACCCAGGACUGAAGGAUGUCUCUGCUCUCAGGACAAGGGAUGUCUACACUCACUCACCUGGAGUUCCCAGAGGGCGCAGAACAAUUUUUCUUUCUGGGAUUGUUCUUUCUUCCCUAGCAUCAACUCUGGAUGGAGAAAUUAGGCCAUCAGUAAUGGAGAGGUGGCAUCACUGAAAAAAGAAUUAUGCUUGGAAACACAGCAAUGUAAAGGAUAAUGGCAUGUUUAGGGGAACACAAGUAGUUUAUUAUGGUCUUAUGGUGGCAGUUAUGUGUGUUGGGGGGCAGACCGCAGUAAUGGGAAACAAAGUUGAAGAAUUAGGUUAGGG